rnacentral:lncRNA from 1 species
AUGUCAACCCAGUUAAGAGCCACAAAGAUGUUGGUAAAGAGGAAGCAGUGUGCCGGUGUGAGUCCUGGAGUGGGAUGGGUGUUGACUGAAGUGAUGGUGCACCUUCUAGCAAAUAUUCAUAGAAUCACAGAAUGGCCUGAGUUGAACAGGACCACAAUGAUCAUCCAGCUUCAACCCCCCUGCUAUGUGCAGGGUCAUCAACCAUCGGAUCAGGCUGCCCAGAGCCACAUCCAGCCUUGUGGGACAUCCACAACCUCCUUGGGCAACCUGUUCCAGUGUGUCCACCCACCCUCCUGUGUAGGAAAACUUACCUCCUGAUAUCUAACCUAAACCUCCCCUGUCUCAGUUUAAGACCAUUCUCCCUUGUCCUAUCACUAUCCACCCUCGUAAACAGCUCGUACCCCUCCUGUUUAUAAGCUCCCUUCAAGUAUUGAAAGGCCAAAAUGAGCUCUCCCCAGAGCCUUCUCUUCUCCAAAGAACAAAGAAAUUAGAAUAAAACAAAUAAUAAUAAUAAUAAUAAUAAUAAUAAUAAUUAAAAAAUUGAAUUAAACCUCCCCCCAACCAUUUGCAACCGUUUUAAAUCUGAUUGCUCUGUAUGUUUUGAGGUGAGAAUUGACACCAAGUUAUAAGAAGCCAAUUUCAUGCUUUUUCAGCUGAUUGUUGGUUAGGAGAAUGGUAUUCCUGGUGGCUUACUCUGUUCUUUUGGCAAUACUUUCUGUGCUGCAAGAUGCUUCUCCUUCAAGACCUCUCUAAUUGUGCCUGCACAGAGAGUUCCCUUUGGAAGGGAACUCAGAGGGCUGUCCAGUUAGACCUGCUCAAAGUGGUGUUUUCUCUUUAAAAAAAAAUAAUAAAUAAAAGUGUGUGUGU